UGUUAAAAAUUUCAUCUAUUUACAUUGUUAAAAAUUGAUUUAACAGACAAAAUAAUAAACAGUGACUCUUAACGUGUAAUGUGUAUAUCAUGUUGAUAUACAUGAAUCGAUUUUUAAUAAUAAAAAUGAAUAAAAUUUUUUACA
rfam:Gossypium raimondii Chr09_contig_602, whole genome shotgun sequence.